rnacentral:rRNA from 1 species
GGGGAAUUUUGGACAAUGGGGGCAACCCUGAUCCAGCCAUCCCGCGUGUGCGAUGAAGGCCUUCGGGUUGUAAAGCACUUUUGGCAGGGAAGAAACAGCCUGGGCUAAUAUCCCGGGCGACUGACGGUACCUGCAGAAUAAGCACCGGCUAACUACGUGCCAGCAGCCGCGGUAAUACGUAGGGUGCAAGCGUUAAUCGGAAUUACUGGGCGUAAAGCGUGCGCAGGCGGUUCGGAAAGAAAGGUGUGAAAUCCCAGGGCUUAACCUUGGAACUGCACUUUUAACUACCGGGCUAGAGUACGUCAGAGGGGGGUAGAAUUCCACGUGUAGCAGGGAAAUGCGUAGAGAUGUGGAGGAAUACCGAUGGCGAAGGCAGCCCCCUGGGAUGAUACUGACGCUCAUGCACGAAAGCGUGGGGAGCAAACA